GUGCUCACUACAGCAACACAUAUGCUAAAAUUGGAACAAUAUGGAGAAGAUUAGAAUGACCCCUGCGCAAGGAUGACACGCGGAUUUGUAAAGCCUUCCAUAUUUUG